UACGUAGGGGGCAAGCGUUGUCCGGAAUCAUUGGGCGUAAAGCGCGUGUAGGCGGCUCGGUAAGUCUGCUGUGAAAGUCCAGGGCUCAACCCUGGGAUGCCGGUGGAUACUGUCGAGCUCGAGUCCGGAAGAGGCGAGUGGAAUUCCUGGUGUAGCGGUGAAAUGCGCAGAUAUCAGGAGGAACACCAAUGGCGAAGGCGGGUAGCUGGGCCAACACUGACGCUGAUGCGCGAAAGCUAGGGGAGCAAACGGG
rnacentral:rRNA from 1 species